AGUGAACGCUGGCGGUAGGCCUAACACAUGCAAGUCGAACGGCAGCACAGUAAGAGCUUGCUCUUACGGGUGGCGAGUGGCGGACGGGUGAGGAAUACAUCGGAAUCUACUUUUUCGUGGGGGAUAACGUAGGGAAACUUACGCUAAUACCGCAUACGACCUACGGGUGAAAGCAGGGGAUCUUCGGACCUUGCGCGAUUGAAUGAGCCGAUGUCGGAUUAGCUAGUUGGCGGGGUAAAGGCCCACCAAGGCGACGAUCCGUAGCUGGUCUGAGAGGGUGAAUAGCCACAAUUGGAAUGAGCCACGGGCCCAACUCCUAAGGGAAGGAACCGGGGGGAAUUUUUGACAAUGGGGGGAAGCCUGGUCCCGGCAUUCCGCGUGGGUGAAGAAGGCCUUCCGGUUUGUAAGCCCUUUUGUUGGGAAAGAAAAGCAGCAGGUUAAUACCCCGCUGUUCUGACGGUACCCAAAGAAUAAGCACCGGCUAACUUCGUG
rnacentral:rRNA from 1 species